GAUGAAGAACGCAGCAAAAUGCGAUAAGUAAUGUGAAUUGCAGAAUUCAGUGAAUCAUCGAAUCUUUGAACGCACAUUGCGCCCGCUGGUAUUCCGGCGGGCAUGCCUGUUCGAGCGUCAUUUCAACCCUCAAGCCCCCGGGUUUGGUGUUGGGGAUCGGCUCUGCCCUUCUGGGCGGUGCCGCCCCCGAAAUACAUUGGCGGUCUCGCUGCAGCCUCCAUUGCGUAGUAGCUAACACCUCGCAACUGGAACGCGGCGCGGCCAUGCCGUAAAACCCCAACUUCUGAAUGUUGACCUCGGAUCAGGUAGGAAUACCCGCUGAACUUAAGCAUAUCAAUAAGCGAGA
rnacentral:misc_RNA from 1 species